CGAGAGUCUUCGGACUCGAGCGGCGAACGGGUGAGUAACACGUAGGAAAUCUGCCGUAAAGACUGGGAUACCAGACCGAAAGGUUUGCUAAUACCGGAUAUGAAUUCGAGAGGCAUCUCUCGAAUUUGAAAGCUGCGUUUGCAGCACUAUACGAUGAUCCUGCGGCGCAUUAGUUAGUUGGUGAGAUAACAGCCCACCAAGACGAGGAUGCGUAGCCGACCUGAGAGGGUGAUCGGCCACAAUGGAACUGAGACACGGUCCAUACUCCUACGGGAGGCAGCAGUAAGGAGUUUUCGGCAAUGGGGGAAACCCUGACCGAGCAAUACCGCGUGAGUGAUGAAGGUCUUCGGAUCGUAAAACUCUGUUGUAAGGGAAGAAUGAUAAGAAUAGGAAAUGAUUUUUAUUUGACCGUACCUUACGAGGAAGCCACGGCUAACUACGUGCCAGCAGCCGCGGUAAUACGUAGGUGGCAAGCGUUAUCCGGAAUUAUUGGGCGUAAAGAGUGAGCAGGCGGCCGUUUAAGUCUGAAGUCAAAUGCAGUAGCUCAACUACUGUUCGCUUUGGAAACUGGAUGGCUAGAGUUCGGGAGAGGUAAAUGGAACUUCAUGUGUAGCGGUGAAAUGCGUAGAUAUAUGAAAGAACACCAGUGGCGAAGGCGAUUUACUAGACCGAUACUGACGCUCAGUCACGAAAGCGUGGGUAGCAAAUAGGAUUAGAUACCCUA
rnacentral:rRNA from 1 species